rnacentral:lncRNA from 1 species
UAUUAUUUUGGUUAGUUUUGAAAAAAAAGCCUAACUUGGACAGUAAAUGCUUGGAUUUUUUUUAAUUGAGCUUUAGUCAUGUUAGACUUAUGUUAUAGCAACUCGAUUUUUAUCGGAAUUGAAAGAUUUAGUUUUGAAGUUGAAUUUUUUGAAUCAAGUUAAUUUAGAAAUUUUAAUGGAGCGUUUAAGAGACGAACAUAAAAUUAUAGAAUUGAAUUAUUAAGUGAUUAAUUAGAUAAGUUAGUAUAGUAGGAGAAUUAAAUUGUUAGGUGAUGA